rnacentral:lncRNA from 1 species
GGGCCCCGUGACAGCAAAACAAGUACGCAGGGCAACUUUUGUUCGUGUUUCGCAUCCGCAGAAGGUAUAAUUACGUACAACGCACGAAAGCUACGCCCACCGUGUUAUUCCCACGAGACCGCAUGCCACCGAGUAAAUGCCUCAACAUCUGUCAUGUGCAGAGGUAUCAUGCCACAUUAGCUGCUGGACGCUUCCAUUUUACGUUUCGAGUGGAAGAUGUGCCUAUUCCAGUGUAUAUGCAGAACGCCGGAAUUACACCCAGUAUGCACAUACUACAUGGCUAGAGAGGUCUUUACCGAAUGUUUCAAUCAUGGAAAGCACCUGGCCAGACCUGCACAAAGGCCGACGAAGCUCGAGGCAUUUUCUAACAUUUCAAGCGCCAUCAAAGUCGGACGUGGUGACAGAUUAGCGGUGCUAAUCUCUUUUCCAGAAAAUUUGACUAGCAAAAAGUGUUUUAAGAACAUUCCUACGUGCCCUUUGACAGAUCUUACUAGGUGAGCUGCUUAGAACAUUUUUAAACACAUCCAUUUAUGACGUGGUCAUGCAGAUUUACAACUAAAAUGUGCCAAAAUCAGACAUGCGAUUUCAUGGGCGCCCAUUGCGUCAAAAUGCGCACAUGCCUUGUUAUCCACUGACUGAUAAAUAAAGAAAAAUGAAAGAUUGGCGUA